CUCCUCUUCUUCUUCUUCUUCUUCUUCUUCUUCAUGUUCUUCUCCUUACUCUUUUAUUUUCUAAAUUUAAAAAAUAUUGAUUUUAUGUCGCUGUUGUUAGAAGGGUCGUUUGUUUGUGUGAUUUUCUCAUCUGGGUUCUCUCUUUUUUCUCUGUAAACAACAAUUUCUUUAUCGCACUAGUAGAUGAAAAACAAGGAAAUUGCCUUUUUCUUCCCCUGAAAUUUGGGUUUUUCUGAUCCGAGAGAGAGUGGCCCAGUAGAUCGAAGAUUUCGAUCUAAAUUUUUCCUUUAAUGGCGUUUCCGCUAUAAAUAUAUUCCCUCGUUUCCCAUAUUUUGUUUGGGUUCCAAAUUCUCUGCGGCUGAGGUUGAAUUUUCUAUGAUUACGAGAUUUUCUCCCUUUCUCUCUCUCUCUCUCUCUGUUUGGAAUCAGAUUUUUCUGUGAAAGUGUCGAGGACUGGCGAUGAGAGGAUGUGGGUCUGAGGAAUGGGAACGAAAGUGCAGCGUGAAAGUUUAUUGCCGGGAUAUCAUCACUCUAUGAGGGAUCUCAACGAAGAUUCUAGUGGUUGUAGCUUAGCGAAUAGUCAAUACUAUAAUGGUUUCCCACCGAGGAAUAUGGCAGAUUCAUACCUCGGGUAUGAAAAAGAUUUAGUCAGAAGGACGAUGCUUGAACAUGAGGCUGUAUUUAAGAGUCAGGUCUAUGAACUUCACCGCCUGUACAGAAUACAGAGGGAAAUGAUGGAUGAAUUGAAAAGGAAAGAGAUAAGUAGAAACCGGGUUUUAGUCGGGGCAUCGUUUUCAUCGAGCCCCUUACUGUCUCAAGUUACUUAUGAUGAAGCCCGGAAAUGGCAAAUGCCGAAUUUCCCAUCGGCCAAUUUGGUUUACGAUAGACCAUCCAUGUCGGUGGUUGAGGAUAAUGGUCACCACUCCCCAAUGAGUUCCAGGAAAGGAAGCAAUUCUCAAGUAGGCCCAGUUCCAUCACAAAAUGGAUCUUGCUCGAAGGAUGUUGAACUAUUGGAGGUUAAACCUGUAAAAGCCAGGAAAAAGAUGAUGAUGAUAGAUCUUCAUCUUCCGGCUGAUGAGUACAUCGAUACCGAAGAAACCGUUGAGUUUAAAGAUAAUUACAGGACUAGUGGCAAUUCAAGUCAUCUUCCUGAUGGGGACUUGAAAGUUGAAUGUCAGGGAGAUUCUUUGAGGAUCAGUUCAGAUUUUCGGAGCAGCAAUUGUUUGGGUGACUUGAAUGAACCAAUCAAGAAGGCUCGAGAAGCAAAUGGGUUUGCAUAUGGAUAUCCCCGUGAUUCAUGUAACAGUGAGUUUCAAGGCCAAAAUCUCUGCAACGGAAUGAAGAUACCGUCCAUGGAAGUAUCACUUCAUUCGGGUAGUGAAAGGGAACAUCUUACUGGUAUCUCUCAACAUUCAGACAAGAAUGGGGUUCAGAAAGUUCAGUCUUUGGGAGUCGGUCAUUAUACCGACAUCCAGAAAUCUGCUUACCCAUUUCUUCAACCGGCCAAGGCAUUGAGUUCAUCCCAUCUUACGCAAGUCACGUCUUAUAAUUCACGGAAAGUUCUCGAAUUUCCUCAUUCGGGUUGGAGAGAGAGGACGUUUAUUGAUCUAGAAGCCGACACGAGUAGUCGUGAAGUUAUCAUCCAUCAAAGUCACUUGGAAUCAAGUGUGGCUUCUAACGCUCAUAGCUUGCAUCCCUGUAACCCUCCUGCUUCUGUUCAACAAUGGAACCAUUUGAACUCAUCUCGGGGAAACUCUAGUUUUGGAUUCUUCCCUCGGGAAGUUGGGUCAGGCGCAGCUCAGAUACACCCGUUUCAAAACUUUUCCAACCCUCUGAGUGGCAGUGAUUCUCAGAAACAGGGGUUUCUCAUGGACAAGUCGCAGUCUGACAACAAUUCUAGGUUUAACAUGGGGUUCGGGAAUAGCAGGAACGGGUUUUACCUCGGGUCCUCCUCUGCUUCCAAAGAAAUUCAAUCAAACUUUUUGGCAGUAGGCUAUGGUUAUGUGAACGGGAGAAGUGAACACAGCCCGGGAAACAUAUACCAGGAUUCAUAUGGCUCGGAGAUGAAGCCUGCGAGAGACGUGGAUUUGAAUGUGACGGUUUCAAACGUAGAGAAAGGGCAUCUGGCCAUUUUACCGUGGCUAGAUUCCAAGCCUGCUUGUAAGAGUGAGAUAGCUGGUGGGCAAUGUGAUCCUAUGACUGGCUGUACUCUGAAUUCCCCGGCAAUCAAUGAUGACCCGAGGAACAAAGCUCAGAAUGGUUUGUGCUCUGAGAAUUGGAGAUCUGUUCUUUGUUCCGAUAACUCCGGGACCAAGAAUAUCGAUGCUAUUGACUGCUCGGCUAAUGGAAAAAUUAUCGGGCGACCCGCUUUUGAUGAACCUUGUAGAUAUGGAGACCAAUUCAAUGGAGAAAAAGGUAAGGGGCAUAACGUUCGGAUGUUUGACAUCAACGUUCCCUGUGAUCCUGAAGCUGUUCUCUCAGAUGAGGAUCGAUCAACAGAGGAUCAAACCCGGACAGAGAUUUCUGCUGGUUUUAGGUUUCAGAUUGACUUGAACAUGUCUGUUACUGAAGAUGAAGACUGUUCUUCGAUUCCCGGUUCAAGAUUAAAUGCAAAGGUACCCAUGAUAGAUCUGGAAGCUCCUGCAAUUCUCGAGUCUGAUGAAGACGAUGCACCCGAAGAAACUCAGAAACCGGUGGAAGAACAAGAGAAGAUGGCAGCAGAGGCAAUAGUGACAAUCUCUUCAGCUUGUCAGCUCAGAGAUACAGCAGCUAUUGGAGUUUUUGCUCGUCCUUCAUCUUCAGCAGAAUCUUCUGAGCAUAUCCUGCAAUGGUUUGCUGAAACAAUAUACGUUCAUGGAGAGAAUAUUGACCAAAAGCUCGACACUUUCUUGACAAGUAAGGGUUCCCAGAAGAACAAUGGUGCAUCAUCAUCAUCUUCCAUCGACGAAGAGGUUGAUUACUUCGAGGCAAUGACAUUGCAGCUACCCGAGGUCACGGAAGACGGGUACAUGCCCAAGUCAUCGGUUCCGGAAGGCCUCAAAUUCGAGGAGCCCUCGGGGCCUGCGUUGGUUUCGGGCCAACGACCUAGAAGAGGAAGCUCGAGAAGGGGAAGGCAGAGGAGGGAUUUCCAAAGGGACAUUCUCCCGGGGCUCAUGUCUCUUUCGAGGCACGAAGUUACGGAAGAUAUCCAGAUGUUCGACGGAUUCAUGAGAGCAAUGGGAAUCACGUGGAUUUCGAGUUCAGCAAGACGGAAAACCGGCUCGACCCGAGGAAGAAGAAGAAGGCAUAUAACAGCCAUUCCCCCAUCCGGUCAACAUCUAAACAACGGCAAUGGCGAUAUAGAAGCUGGUUUAGAAGAUAGAAACCUUACAGGAUGGGGGAAGAUGACGAGAAGGCCGAGAAGACAACGAUGUCCUCCUACUGGUAAUCGUUAUUCCCAUACAUCAUUUGCGUGUUAAUAACAAUACCCUUUUGAGAUUCUUCUGGGAAAUGGCGAUCGAAUCGUGGUAGAGAAGGUGAAAGAUGAAGAAGGUGAAACGGAAGUGCCAUUGAUGAUGAUGUUUUCGUUGUAAGAUAAGAUAACAUUUUACGAGGCUAUUUUCUCAGUUUCUGCCUGCAAAUUUGGUGUGGAAUGCACGCGCGGAAGGGGCGCGUGAGGGGAGGAAAAGAUUUUGACUUGAGAGUAACCAAUCAAGUAAAAAGACAUCUUUUGGUACAUCGAAUCAGCUCUCCGACACAAACGCGCACACAAAAAAAACAAACAAACAUAUUUUCAGUUUCCACUUGUUUAUAUAUUUAUGGAUUUAUUUUAUUUUUCAUGUCCCACCCACCUUUUGCUUCUGGGCUUUUGGUCCGUCUUUUCGCAUUUGUUCCACCGUUGUCCAGUUUUUAAUAUAGAAUUUUAGUUAU